UACAAGAUGGUCGAGAAUAAACAAUAAACUGUAAAUUUAUUUACGGGCGCAAGCCCUCUUGUA
rnacentral:tRNA from 1 species